GUGGCUCUCGGAAGUGGCGGCGGGGGCGGAGUUUCCGGCUCCGGGUGAGGACGGGGGGGGGGGCGGCGGGAGCGCGGAGGGGCCGCGGAAGGACUCCCCGACAACUCCGUCCCUGCGGAUCCAACACCUCCCGCUUUGGGGGGUCUCGGCUUUGGGGGGGGGGGCCUGGCCGAGUGUCCCCCCCCUUUCCUGAGCCCGUGGCCCCCCAGGAAGAGGAGGAGGAGGAAGGAAUGGCGGCGCCGUGGCGGGUACUGGAGCCCGCCCAAAAAUCCAUAAAAAUUUACUGAUCCCACCUUUUCUGCCCCCAAAAGGAGCUUUGCCUGGGCGACAGUCAGGCCAAAGGCUCCCACACCAUGGCUCAGGCAAGUCUCCUGGCCUGUGAGGGGCUCUCGGGGGUCUGCCUGGUCCCCACAGUCGCCAGUAAGAAGAUGAUGCCCAAGGCUGGAAAACAGGACGGGAACCGAGAAAGAGGCUCCAGCCCUGACCUGCUGGUAUGGGAUGGGGGGAACCCCCUGUAUGGGGGGGUUCUGGCUCUAAUGGGGGGGUUAUGCCUUCAGUUGGAGGGGUUCUGGCUUUAAUUUGAGUUUUUUUCUGCUUUAAUUUGCUUUCUCCUGAUUUAAUUUGUCUUUUUACACCUUUGAUUUGUGUUUUUCUGCCUUUAAUUUGUCUCUUUCAACCUUUAAUUUGGGGGUUUCCUGUUUUACAACUUAGAAAAAUGCAGGGUUUUCCACACUUAAUCUGGGACUUUCUGUCUUUAAUUUCAGAUUUUCCACCCUUAAUUCAGGUUUUUCUACCUUUAAUUUGGGUGUUUGCUGAUUUAAUUUAGCUUUUCCCUGGUUUUAUUUGAGUUUUUUCUUCUUUAAUUGGAUCUUUUCCUUCUUUAAUUCAAUUUCAUUUCCGUUCAGUUGGACUUUUCCUCUUUCGUUGGGGUUUUUUGUCCUUUAAUUGGAAUUUUCUAUCUCUGAUUUGCCUUUUCCUGCCCUAAUUCCGUUAUUUCCAUUUGAUUCCUUCUCCCCCAAUUCCAUUAUCCCCCAUUCCCUGCCCCCUUUA